UGGGGAAUAUUGCACAAUGGGCGCAAGCCUGAUGCAGCCAUGCCGCGUGUGUGAAGAAGGCCUUCGGGUUGUAAAGCACUUUCAGCGGGGAGGAAGGCGAUAAGGUUAAUAACCUCAUCGAUUGACGUUACCCGCAGAAGAAGCACCGGCUAACUCCGUGCCAGCAGCCGCGGUAAUACGGAGGGUGCAAGCGUUAAUCGGAAUUACUGGGCGUAAAGCGCACGCAGGCGGUUUGUUAAGUCAGAUGUGAAAUCCUCGGGCUCAACCUGGGAACUGCAUCUGAUACUGGCAAGCUUGAGUCUCGUAGAGGGGGGUAGAAUUCCAGGUGUAGCGGUGAAAUGCGUAGAGAUCUGGAGGAAUACCGGUGGCGAAGGCGGCCCCCUGGACGAAGACUGACGCUCAGGUGCGAAAGCGUGGGGAGCAAACAGG
rnacentral:rRNA from 1 species